GAUCCUGGCUCAGGAUGAACGCUGGCGGCGUGCCUAACUACAUGCAAGUAGAACGCUGAAGCUUGGUGCUUGCACCGAGCGGAAGAGUUGCGAACGGGUGAGUAACGCGUAGGUAACCUGCCUCUUAGCGGGGGAUAACUAUUGGAAACGAUAGCUAAUACCGCAUAAAAGUCGGCAUUGCAUGAUGUUGACUUGAAAGGUGCAACUGCAUCACUAAGAGAUGG
rnacentral:rRNA from 1 species